AUUGAACGCUGGCGGCAGGCCUAACACAUGCAAGUCGAGCGCGAAAAUUCCUUCGGGAAUGAGUAGAGCGGCGGACGGGUGAGUAACGCGUAGGAAUCUGCCCGGUAGUGGGGGACAACAGUCGGAAACGACUGCUAAUACCGCAUACGCCCUAAGGGGGAAAGCAGGGGAUCUUCGGACCUUGCGCUAUCGGAUGAGCCUGCGUCGGAUUAGCUUGUUGGUGGGGUAAUGGCCUACCAAGGCGACGAUCCGUAGCUGGUCUGAGAGGAUGAUCAGCCACACUGGGACUGAGACACGGCCCAGACUCCUACGGGAGGCAGCAGUGGGGAAUAUUGGACAAUGGGGGAAACCCUGAUCCAGCCAUGCCGCGUGUGUGAAGAAGG
rnacentral:rRNA from 1 species